rnacentral:lncRNA from 1 species
GGGCUGUGAGAGUCUUGGUGGGAAGUGUCGAAGCUGGGGGGGCGGCCCUGGGGGCUCGGGUCCUCCCCGUCAGUGCCCCUGCCCCGGGGGCUUCAUAUCCCCCUAGAGAAGUGCUGUGAAAGGAGGGGCUCCUGGCAGGGAAGAUUGGAGCAUCUCCCCACAGCGCUGGCUCCCAGGGGCCCCCAGGGCAGGUCCCUCGGGGCGGCACCUACCUGGACUGCAUUUGGGGCAGCACUCGGUCCCCACUGGGUACUCCUCCUCUUUGCACUGGGGCGUCGCCAGGGUGUAGCGGGGGGACCCCAGAAGGAGGAGAUACAAGGCCUGGAGGGGACAGAUGGGGCGUUGGAGGGGAGCAGCAGCCCAGGCUGCCCCGGAGCCUCGAUAUCAGCCUCUGUGAAAUGGGGCAGCAGCAGCCCCAUAGCUGGAGGUGGCCUGGGAGGGAGGACACAGGUGGGGCCCGACAGGCUCUGGGAAUCAUCCAGGACAGCCCUGGCGUUAGGUGGGGACUGGCCCGUCUCCUGCCUCUGUCCCCAAGUCCACCAGCAUGGUACCCCAAGGACUGGGUCUCUGCUCUCACCAGGGACCACACUCCCUGGGAAGCCCUGAGCCACUCUGGGCUGGACAACUGGCCAUCCUGCCUCUGGCCUGUGCUGGGCCCGCUGAGCCCUGGGGACCCAGCAGGGUCAGAGCAGGACGACCGUCAGGGGCUCACAGGCCAGGCACGGGAGACAGGCUGUUCAGGGCCCGGGCUGGGGUGGGCCAUGAGGGGGCCCAGGGCCCAGGGCUGACUCUGCUAACCCUGAAGUUUCCGCCUGGGCUGGCAGGAAGCCACACGGGCAAGCAGGCUCUCCCCCCCGGCCUGGCCCUGGACUCCACCCUACUCACACAGACACGGACUUUAUCUCCCAGGACAGGGAGGGGCUGAGGGUGGAGAUUAGCCACCUGCUGGGGGCUCCCACCCCAGGGCGGGAACAGCUCAGGCAUCCAAGAACAGCCGGGCCCCGGAGGCACCCUCACCCUGUGCUGGGGGCUCACCUUCGUCCCCUGAGUGGGGUUUCGGGGACGAGGCCCACCAGGAGCUGUUCUAUGGCUUUCCUGUCUGUCUGCUCCCCUACCCCAGGGCCAGGGUGAGUGGGUGACAGAGGGCUGGGUCAGCCUAGGAGAGCCGGGCAGCUGGGGGACAAGGGCAGGACAGGGACAUCGUGGGCAGGGAUGGGGAAGAGGGUACACCCAGGGGCAGGAAUAGGGGCGCUGGGGCGCGGCUGGACAGACAGGCAGGCUCAGGAGACUCACCAGGCUCAGGGCAUCAGCCUUGGGUGCCGGGCUCCAUGGGGGUGGCCCCCAGCCUCGCAGAGGCUCCAUGUCUCUCCUCACGACCCCUCAUUCCCUGGCUGCUGUCCCUAGCCCCCUGCCAGCAGGACGAGCUUUAGCACUUGGGCUUCCUGCUGCCUCGCUGGCUGAAAGAGAAAGAGAAACUGCAGCAGGAGCCAGCGAGGACGGCCUUCGGGGUGAUCUCAGGAAGUAUUCGUCUCCAGUCCCCAAGCAUGUGCCAUUGGGGCCCUAGGCUGCCAGGGGAUCAGGACCCCACAGUGACAGGCAGGGAGGGCCCUGGGAUGCAGUCUGCAGUUGGCAGGACCAGCGGUCCAGAGCAGAGGUCAGGGCAGGGGGAGGGGCGCAGCAUAGGCGGCAGGGGGGAUCUCCUGCUGACCCUAGAGAGCCAGCCUGCAGCUCCUGACAGCAGGAGCCAAGAGGAACCUCCUUGGCUGUGUCUUACCUGUCUCUGUUGAAAAGGGGGGACCCUACGUCUAUGGAAAGGGGGAACCAGCGUCUAUGGAAAGGCGGGAUCCUGCUUCUACGGAAAGGGGGCCCAGCCACUUCAAGGAAACCCCGCCUCCCAGCAGUGCAUUCUGGGCGUGUCCACCCUCUGCCUGGGGCUGGGUCAGGCUGGUUUCCACCUGCACAGCCCUGCGCACGUCUCUGCAGAAGGUGACCCUUCCCCAAUCCCAGGAGGCUGGGGGUCGCUGAGUCCCCAUCAGGACGGGGUUCUCCCCACUCCACCUUCCCUGGAGCCAUGGCCAUCUCCCGAGCUGGGGGACAGGAGGGCAGGCCUGGGAGAGCAGACCCUCAUACACACACCUGGUGCCUAAGAGUCACACUUGGGACUGGUGAGAGGCACCCACCCAGCCCUGGCAUCCUGGAUGGGGAGCGACUGGGGGACCCUGGGAGGAGACCCUGGGCACUGGGGAAGGAACAGGGCAGGAGUGAAGUCCGAGGGCUGGGUGGAGGCUGACCACUGCCCUAUCGGCAAAGCUUCGCAGCGCCCAGAGGCAGCGUCCACCCUGGCCACCAUCACCCGGGACGACCAGCCCAGCCCCACAGACCCUGGUGCUCUGAGGUAGGGUGGGGGUUUGGUGGGACCAGGGGCUUGGGAGCUCCCAUGAGACCCAGCAGCACAGGGUCCCAUCCCCACACCCAGGGGCCUUUUAGAGGGUGCCCCCACCCCGCUCCCCCACGUGCACUCACACCCCCUGCCCCCAGCACUGCCAGGGGGUUUCCAAUGAAGGGAAAGGGGCACCCCCUCUGCACCCUCUGCUUGGUCCCAAGAGCCCUGGGGAGUGCUUUAGAAUGCCCUGGAAACCCCAGCAGCACACGGGUGCCUCAGAGCACACUGCAGGCACCCAGGGCAGGGACAGGGCUCUGGGACCACCUCUGCUCCCUGCCAUGCCCCCAGGGACCUCCCAAGUCCUGGGAAGAUCCUUGGGGUGGGGUUGGCCAGAGAGGGAGGAUGUUCUCCCCACACCUGGUGAGGCCCCCAGGACCCUCGAUCCCGGCUCUCAACCCACCACUCCCUUCAGAUGCCUCCUUUCAUCAGAGAUCCUUUCAUCCACCCCACCCUGGGCAGGUGGGGAAACUGAGGCACAGCAAAGGGCAGGACUUACCCACAGGCAUCAGUGAGUCUCAGCUGGAAUGGGGAGUCCCAUGGCUGGCUCAGCCCCUGUACCCCUGGCCCAUCCCUCCCCACCCAGCCACCUCAAGACUCAAGGCCCUAGAUGCUGAGCCAGCGUCACGCCCCAAGGCAGCAGGGGAGACCCGCCCAGGGAGCCUUCUGUACCAGGUCUCUGCUGAGCCAUGGCCUCUUCAGGAGGCUUUCCUGAUGCCUGAGUUUCCAACCACACCCCCUGCACCCUCACCCAGUGACCCUGGUGUCUUAUUGGUUCCUUGUCUUCCCACCUCCCCCCUGGAAUGCAAAUUCCGUGGCAGGAGUUCUGUGUCCAUUUUAGCAGGAAGACGAAGGGCUGGGCUCCAGUCUCAGCAUCACCAUUCCUGUGCUCACUCCUCACUCGCUGUUCACUCACUCAUUCAGCACCCAGUAGUUCAGGCCAGGCUCAGUUCUGGGCGCCAGACUCAUUGAGGAGGAAAUGAGACAGGAGGAGGGUGCAGACAGGGCUCCUGCCCACGCACCAGGAGUCCCCAUGGCUGGCUGUCGCGUCUGCUCCUCGGCCCCAGGCAUCCAGGAAUCAGGAGCAGGGCAGGACCAGGGUACGCCCCAGGGAGCCCCGCACCUGUCUGAGGCUCCAUGGGGCUCUCGUGCCCCUUACUUAUGGGGGGGGGCAGGUAGAGCCCGCACCCCAGGGCCUCUCCUUCCAGUCAUCCCUGUGAUGUGGGCUGGGAUCCAGGGAAGCCGCCUCUCCUGACUCAGCCAGAGCCUGUGUCCAGGGACCCCAGGGCUCCUGCAGGGUGCCCAACCUCAGGGCCCAGGGGAGGGCCCGGCAGGAGCUUCAGAGGCAUCUGUGCAUGCCUCCCCCCAGUGCAGAUGGGGAAACUGAGGCUCAGCCUCUCCCCAAACCCAACUCUGCCGCAGCAAGAGGAGCCUCCAUCACCUGGCUAUCCCUUGAGACCUGCCCCUGCGCCCACCGUUCCCUCCCAGGGGCUGCCCACCCCACCACAUCGCCGACACCCGGAGCUCCCGGCCAGGACACCUCCCGAUGGGCUGAGGAAUCCCUGAUCACAUUUCCUCCUCUUCUUGAGAGGGAGAUCUCUGGGGUCCCGAGCAUGGGAGAGAUGCUGAGAACCAGGGUGCUUGAGCCCAGGCCUGGAGGGUGGGAGGCAGGGUCGUCCUGAAAGCCCACCUUGAGGCCCCCCCUCCUCUCCUCUGCAUUCUUGGUGGCCUCAGCCCCCUGCUCUGUGGGAGCCCCGGGCUGGGAAGUGGGCUCAGAGGCAAAGCAGCCUGGGCCUCACCCCCUGGGGCUCAUGGUCCAGUGAGGGAGCUGAGUCUAAAAGCCACUGUCAGCGUCAUGUGGUGAGGGCUGGGUAUGGGCAGCAGAUGUGGGCUGGGGCUCUGAAGAUGAACAGGAGUCCUGCUGGGGGACAAGGUGAGAAAGGGCAUUCCCGGAGGAAAGAUGUGGGUUGAACAAUAUGGCCGGGAAGUUCUUGGGGUCCAGCCCUGGUGAGGCAUGGAAGGGGGCCUCGACACAGAGCUGGCCGAGGCUGGCCCCUUGAGGGAGGCUGCAGACCCCGGGUGCGUCCUGUGCACGGGAGACUGUGCAGGUGUCAGGCUGGUGGGGAGGGUGGACGGAGUAGACAGGGGCGUGAUGUCUCCCAGGUGGGAGCCUCUGGGAGGUGAGGAGCAGGGCAGGGAGGGCAGAAGGGCGUGGAGAGAGGUCAACUCCAGGGACGCCCAGAGGCGCAGGGCCUGCAGGAGUCGGUGUCCGACUCUCAGGGUGCGGGUAGAGGUGGACGGAGAGGACGGCAACUCCUCAGCCUCAUGCCUGGGACAGACGGGAGAGAACUGGGGGUUGGGACAGGGGUCAGAGGAGGGGCAGAGUGUGCUUGGGCCACCAGGGACUUCCCAGAGGCCCAGGUGCCUGCUCAAAUCCAGGCUUGUCCUGGGAGCAGAACUGGGGGUGCUGUGGGCGCCCAGACCUGGUUUUGUCUAGCUCCAGACCAGGGUAUCAGUUCUCGUCUCAGACGUCUCCCCAGCGCCCCGUGCCCAGUCCCCCACCAGCCCUCCCAACUCCUCCUCCACAACUCCCCCACCGCCUCUGCUCCCUGGCAAAAUCAGGGCCCUGGGAGGCAGCUGUGUGCCACGCUUCACCUUGCUGCACCCACACCGGGACCCCUUGUGGGCAUGGAGAGGCUGCCUCAAGAGGCUCCUCAGAGGUCUGCUCCCUCCAGGCACAUGCUCUCACCUCGGCACCCCGCCCUCACUCUGGCUCCCCUGCUCUGCCUAGUCCAGACAGCAGCUAGGGACACCCCUAGCUGCCCAUGACACCACGGUCACGGUCGCCCCCUCCCUGCACCCUCUGGGGCCCCUCACCAAAUCCCCCCCCCCGCCCCCCAAGGCCUGCCCAUCAGCCCAGACUUGCCUCUCCAACUCAUGUCUCCCUUUGCUACAGCCACACCAACCCCUUUGCGUCCCUGCUUAUUCCAGCUCCUUCCAUCCCAGAGCCCCACGCAGGCCAUUCCCUCUGCCGGCUCAUCCUGGGAGGUCAUCCUGAUGUCUCUCCUGUCCUCAGAAACAAUCUCAGCUCAUACCUGUGCCGUGCUCCCUGGUGUCUGGCCCUCACCUCACCUACAGGCCCUCCUGCCAUCCUAACCCUCACAGUUACGCUGUGUGAAUAGACGGUCAGGGCCCUAGGGACCACGGCUUUACAGGUCAGGAGACCAGGCGGAGAGCUGGGGCCAGGCCAAGGGAGGCCACCUCUCCAGAAGGAGCAAAGGAGGGUUGGACCAAACAAGUGGCUCCGGCCACUUGGCAAUGAUUCAAUGCUGCCUCCCUGGUUUCAGCUCCAAGAGAGACUUCUGGGAAAUGUUGAAGGUGGAGGGCUCCUCCUGCCCCUGGUUCAACAAGCAAAUGGACAAUCCCAGCCCUCGGAAUGGGACCAGCACCCAGGGGGCCUUUGGGAGCAUCGGGGGCCUCCUGGCUCCACGUUGGGCAGCUGGGCCCGGGGACCAUUGGCCAAGAGCAGGAGAAGGUGAGGAUGGACGGCUGGGAAAGAGAAGAAAGAGGAAAGGGCAGAGCAGCCCAAGAAAGAGGAAGACAAGAUGUGCAGACUCACUGGUGACAGGGAAGAGAAAGUUCCUCAUAGAGGUGUUUACAGGUCAAGACUGGGCCCAGGGGAAGCCAGCAGGACUGAGGAUGGUGAACUCCAUGGAGCACGGAGUGACUAUGCAGUGGGCCAGCCACUCUGGAAGGCAGUUUGGGAGUAAAUGUUAAAUGUCUUAGACCAUUGCACCCUUUGAUCAGGCAAUGUCGUGUAUGAAUUCCACCCUGGAAGUAAGUAUUCUCAUUCCAACGGGAAGAGGUGGACGUACAGGAGAGGACAUCAGCCUUUGAAGGUGCCAGAGAACAUUGGAAAUAACCUAAGUGCCGUCGAAGGGGAACUGUCCCUCUUGCCUGCUGCCGUGAUGGAGUAACACAGCCUGGACUUACCCUCUGCCCCCAAAGCAAGAAACUGAAAACCGUGAAUCAGCUGUGUUCAGAAACUAGGCAAAAGGAACUGGGAUCCCCAGCAGACCAGGGCAGUCCUGCUGAGUUAAGAAGAAAGGGAUCAGGCCUCAGGACGGCUGAAGCUGGUGGACACGCAAGCAGAGCUCCCGAAAGGAGGGAGCUGCACAGACAAAAGCUACAGCCAUCGGCAAGGUCCCCUUAGCAUUGGCUCAAGAACCUGCCGUGUGUGUCACGGAUAAAACUCCACAGUACGGCACAGUGAGCCACUAGGAGCUGUGCACCGAGUGACUCCAGAGCUCACACAGGGUGAGGGGACAUUGGAGUGCUGACCAGCUGGACUUGACUGUCCUCAAUGGUCCCUUUGGCCUGCAGGAGAGACCCCAUAGGCCGCGCCUCCCCAGGGCUGAACCGGCCUGGAGUAAGGCUGCUCUAGCCCUAGUGUAACUAAGCUCAGAGUCCCACCCAAGAUCAAAGCGAAGCCCAAGUCACUGAGCACAGGCCGGACACGCACAGCCCUCUCUCCAGGAGGACUGAAAGUAAAAGAGAAAAUUCCAGAUCAUAAAGAAAGUAAAAACACCAUGCCCAGCAUCCCAGCAAAAAUUACCCACAUGCCAAGAAGCAGGAAAAUGUGACCAGCAAAAACGUGAAUCAGGAGAAAUAGACCCAAAGAUGACCGCAAUGAUGGAAUUACCAGACAACACCCUAAGACAGUCUUUCAAACAUUUUUAAAGGGAAAUGUAAACAUAAAGAGGGAAAUGGAAGAUAUAGAAAGAACCAAAUGGAACUUUAUAAAAUCUCCAGUGAAGAAUGAGCUGGGCAGGUGUGUUAGCCGGCUCGGGUGGCCAUAACGAAUACCGCAGUAUCCUGGGUAAACAGCAGGAAUUUAUCGCCUCGCAGGCUGGAGGCUGGAGUCCACGAGCAAGCUGUGGUGGGGCUGGUCUCCCUGAGACCUCUCGGCUUGCCUUGUAGACGGCCUCCUUCUCACCAUGUCCCCACAUGGUCCUUUCUCUGUGCAUGCGCAUCCCUGGGGUCUCUUUGGGUGUCCAAAUUUCCUAUUCUCCAUAGGCCUGCUCUCAGAUUGGAUUAAAGCCCACCCAGAUGGCCUCAGUUACCCUUAAUUACCACCUUUAAGGCCCUAUCUCCAAAUAUAGCCACAUUCCAAGGUAUUGGGGGUUAGGGUUUGAACAUACGAAUUUGGGGGGACGCAAUUUGGCCCAUAAAAGUAGGGUUAACACAGGCUGGACACUUCAAGAUGAUAUCCAUGAACUUGAAGCUAUAGUAAUAGAAACUAUCCAAAAUGAGGUACAAAGAGAAAAAAAGAAAAGGGAAAAAAAAACAGGGCCUCAGUGAUGCCUGGAAAAUAUCAAGCUGUCUAACAUCAAUAUAAGUGGAGUCUUACAAAACAAGAGAGAGGCAAGAACAGAAAAAUUAAAGAAAAAGUAUAAACCUACAAACAAAAGAAUGCCUACAAACCCCAGGAAGGAUAAACAAGAAAGAACAUAUAACAAGGAAAAUCACAAUCAAAUUCCUGAAAAACAGGGAUAAAGGGAAAAACCCCAAAUCAGUCUCAGCGAACACCGUCACAUCCAGAGAAGCAGAGAUAAGGGGCACGGCUGAAUUCUCACCAGAAACAGUGCAAGUCAGGGACGAUAGAAACAUCUAGAACACGCUGGAGAACAUCUCAACUUAGACUUCCAUACACAGUGAAGGUAUUUGCCCAAAAUGGAAGCACAACAAAGACUGAGGACUUCCAUUUCAUGAUUUCUAUAAAAGCUCCGGUCGUCCAUCACCAGCAGACUUUCAUUACAAGAAAUGUGAAAGGACUUUCUUCAAAGACAAGGAAGUCGGUACCCAAUGAAAACGCAUCUCUACUCAAAGGAAUGGAGAGUGAAAGAAAUGGUAAAUAUGUCAGUAAACAUGAGACAUCUUUUUCUCAUUUUUAAAAUUUCUUUUAAAAAUAAUAGAAAGCUUAAAGAAAAAUAACAAUGUGCUGUCAUGGUCACAGCACGUGGAAGUAAAAUCCAUGACAAUAAGAGCAAGAAGCCUGGGGCAGGGAAACGUGAGUGGACUGUGUAAGGUGCUUUUCAUGGUCUGUCAAGCGGGUGAUAGUGGGAGGUGAGGACAGGUGCAUAUUGUAAGCCCUAGAGCAGCCGCUGAUAAAUAAAAUGAAGAUGUGUAGCAAAUAAGCCCACAGUGCAGAUGAAUGAAAUACCCAAAAAACACUCAAUUCGUCAAGAAGAAGGCAUAAAGGAGGAAACAAGAAACAAAGAACAGCAAAUAAUUAUCAAAAUAUGGACCCAAACCCAACCACACAGGAAACUACAUGGAAUGGAAAUGGUCUCAAUCCUCCAGUUAAAUGCAGACAUUGUCUUACUGCAUGCAAAACCAAAACUGUAGGCUGACGUGCAAAGGAUACUGUACACAGAAAGAGACAGCAGCCAAAAGAAGAGGACAGCGAUUGGAGAUUGCAGGGUUCUAGAGGCCGGGGGCUGUGCAGAAACAGAGCCCCCAAAUCUGCAGAGGCAGCUGAGAGACUCCCACAGCCAACGUCUCAGUCGAUGGUGAAGACGGCAUGCUUUCACCCAAGAACAGGACGAGGCAGGGACGCCCACUCAUCCCCUUCUGCACAACACUGCACUGGAGUCUCAGAAAGGGCAACGCGGCAAGAAAAAGAAAGAGAAGGCGCGGCGAUGGGAGCGGAAGGGAAACAUUGCUUCUUCGCAGACAACGUGACCACAUAUAUAAAAGUUCUACAAUGUCUACAGAAAGGCUAAGUGGCCUACACAGCUUAUUUAGUGACGUCACAGGACACAAGGCCAACAGUUUAGAAAAUACAGAUGGGUUUUUGAAAUUUAAAAGAGCAAGAACACACUCACAUUAAAAACAUGAAGCAUCUGGGACAAAUUCAACAGAAUGUGUGCAGGCCUGUGCAGGCCCUGCCGAGGGAGGGGACAGAGGACGCCGUAAAUGGAAAGGUACGAUGCUCACAAAGUGGAAGACUGGGUUUCGGCAAGAUGUCAGUUCUCCCCCAAGUAACCAGAGAUCAAUGUAGUCCCAAUCAAACUGCAGCAGGCUUGUUUGUGGAAAUUGAUACGCUGAUUUUUUACACUCAUGUGAAAACAGAAAGGAGUUAUCGUGGCCAAAACAAUUUUGAAAAGGAAGAGCAGGGCUGAAGGACGUGAGCUGUAAGCCUCGUGGAUCCAGCCCAGAUGGUGUAGGCAGGAGGAGUACCAACCGGUCGACGAGACGGAAGAGACGGAGUCCACAAACAGACCCGCUCGUGUGCGAUCACCAGAGUGUUGUCGGAGGCGCCACAGUAAUCCCACAGGGGAAAGGUAAUCUUUGUAGGCAACAGUUGCUGGAACAGGGAGAAUCAAGGCGGCAAAAAUGAAGCUCAGCCUUUACCCUCACCACGAGCAAAAAGUAGCCCAAAGGGACCAUAGGCCUAAAUGUAAAAGCUAAAAUUAUUAAACUUCUGGUAGAAAACAUAGGAGAAAAUCUUUGUGACCUUGAAGUGGGCAAAGAUUUCUUAGAGAGGACAUGAAAGACAUAAACCAUCACAGAAAAACAGAUAAAUUGGACUUCAUCCAAAUUAAAGACUUUGCUCUUCAAAGUUUGAUAUUAAGGAAAUGAGAAGGCAAACCACCUGCUGGGGAAAAUAUCCACAACACACAUGUCUUGCCCAAAAGAUAUAUUUUUUAAAAAUUUCUUACAACUCAAUAAGAAGACAAACAACUCAAUAUUCUUUUAAUGGUCAAGAUUUUUGAACAGAUCCUUCCCCAAAGAAGACACACAGACGGCACAUGCAAAGAUGCUCAGCAUCAUUAGUCAACAGGGAAAUGCAAAUUAAAAUGACAAGGAGAUACCACUUCACAGCUAUCAGAGUGGCUAAGGGUAAAGUCUGACCAUAUCAGGUAUUGACGAGGAUAUGGCGUUACUGGAUCUGUUGACACUGCUGGUGGGAAUGGAAAGUGGUACGACCACUUUGGAUGACGGUUUGGCAAACGCUUACAAAGUUAACCACACGCUUUCCAUCUGACCCAGCCAUUCCACUCCUAGGUAAAUAACCUAGACAAAGGAAAAUAUACGUCCACACCAAAAGCUGUUUACAGACUUUCAUAGCAGCUUUACGCACAUUAACCAAGAACCGGCAGCCACCCAGACACCAUGAACAGGUGAAUGGAUACACAUAUGGUGGCAUAGUCAUAAAACGGGAUACAACUCAGUGAUAAGAAAGAGUGAUAUUGAUACACAGCGUCAUGGAGGGACCUCGCGGUCAUUAUGCUGAGUGAAGAGGCCGGACCCCAAGGAGCGACAGAGUGUGACUGCGUUGAUGUGAAAGUCUGGAACAGGCAGGUGCAAGGCAGAGGCAGAGAAAGCAGGUCACACAUGCCUGGACCAGGGGUGGGGACUGCCUGGAAGGGGCUCGUGUGGGUCACAGAGGGCUGCCAUGCCAAUGUCCCCUGGCCUGGGUGGCCUAAACAACAGAAAUUUACUUCUCUCAGUUGGAGGCUGGAAGGCUGAGAUCAAGGUGCAGGCUGGCUGGUCUCCUGAGGCCUCCCUCCUUGGCCCGCAGAUGGCCACCUUCUCCCAGUGUCCUCACGCGGCCUUUUCUCUGUGCACCAGCAUUCCUGAUGUCUCUUUCUCUUCUGAAGUCCUACCGGGUCAGGGCCCCAGGCUUACGACCUCAUUUAACCGUAACGACCUCCUGACAGCCCUGCCUCCAAAUUCGGUCACCCUGGGGGUCAGGUCUUCAAUAUAUGAAUUUGGGGGACACAAUUCAGUGCAAAGAGUCUCCAACAAGAACGCGAGUUCCCAAGGACAGGGAGGUUUCUCCGCCACUCACAGCUACGUCCCCAACACCUGGCACAGAGUGGGCACUCGGAACAGACCCACUGGGCAGAUGCGAGGUAGAGGAAAGCCCUCGACAGCCUAGAGCUGGCCUGGCGCUAUCAGCCGGCCUUGGUGUUCUCCAGGUAAAUUAAUGUCAUGGCACGUCAACAUCGACAAGGAUACACAGACAGGUAUGAACUCAGACAAACAGUCACUGUCACGCCACAAAAACAACCAAAUACCGCCGCCCUGGCAAAUACGGGUGACUGCUGCUCCCUCCCUCACCACCCACACAAUGUCAGCCAUGCCCUUCUGCUUACAUCCUCGACAGGAUGCAUUCAGAUCCCCAUCGUGGAGCACCCGCUCCUCCAGCACUCAAUCCAGCACGACCAAAAUCACCCAGCACCCCCUAGAUGCCACCAUUCCUGCCCAACACGUCUCACGAAGGCCCCCGGUCCCCGCAGGUGUGUCCUCUCACUGUGAUGGGGCAGCGUCCCAACUUCUCGGGGCGCAGGUGCGGCGUGGUGGUGGCUGCAAGGUGCUGGCCGCUGUUGGGGUUCUCCAGGUGAAGCAGCCACAAGACGAACCCAGUGCUCUUUCUCUCGCUAAUGUUGACCCCCGGGAGACAGCUCUGGUAAGGUGAUUUGCUAAAAGAUCUGGGACCCCCACACCACCAACUGCGUCCACACCCACUCCCACCCCAGCCCUGAGGGCAGGGAGGCAGAGAGGCUUGAAAGGGGACAGAGAAGCUCAACCUGUGAUGCGUUAAAAAAAAAAAAAAAAAAAAAGCAUGUCUGCGUGUGUAUGUUUCUCUGUGUCCCGAAAAAUUCCGGGUGCCUGUGCCUCAGGGUGGGUGGGGAGAGCUCUCGCCAACAACAAACUUCCACUUUCUGCUGUGGUCUGUUCCGCACUGCGUGAGUUUUUGUAACAUCACGUGUCACUUUUACAAGAAAAAGGCUGAUCAAGAGCCAUAUUAACAGUCAUUGCUGGUGACGGCCGGGCCACCAGGCCAGCCCCACGUACCCCACCAUUUCCCCAGAAGGGAGCUCGGGUCCCUCGAGGAGUCAGGGGGCAGAAAGUAGGACAGAGGUUCAGGGGCUGGGGGAGCGAGAUGAGGAGUUAGCGCUCAAUGGGGACAGAGUUCCUACUGAGAUGACAUAAAAGUUCUGGAGACGGAUGGUGGUGAUGGUUGCACAUUAACGCGAAUGUGCUUAAGGCCACUGAGUUGUACACUUACAAAUGGUUAAAUGGUAAAUCUUACGUAAUAUAUAUUUCAUCGCAAUUUUUAAAAUACAUCAAAUUUGUUUGUUAAAAGAAAGCAGGAGGGAGCCUCGUGGUGCUGGUUCUGUUUUGACCACAUCAGUGUCAACACCCCCACACACACUGCGCAGUAGUUUUGCAAGACGUUACCAACGGGGGAAACUGGGUGAAAGGUACACGGGAUCUUUCUGUAUGAUUUCUUACAACUCCCUGUGAACUAUCUCAAAAUAAAAAGUGCAACAACAAAAAAGUCAGAUGAGAAGCACUCUGAACGGAUGUUUGCACUUCAGUGGCGUACAAAGUUGUCCAACCAGAGCCCGAGGCCCCCGGGCCUCCGUGCACCCCUCACUGUCAGCGGGCGGCCCAGGCACAGCGGGC